AAGUAUUCACCGCAACAAGAAGUGAGCACGGCCAACGAGCCCAUGUGAGCUCUGCCAUCAGACAGAUACCAGGUGCAAAGUGUGGCUCCAGCACUUGCAGACGGUUGGCGGUCUCUCCAAGGUGGGUACGUACACACACUCUCACUUGGCUCCUACGACGAUUCAGGGACUGGGCAGCUGGCCAAUAAGAGAAGACACGACUGGGGACAUCUACUGGAUGCUCACGACACGCUGACACGAUGGUCAGCCCUUCACGUGUGCCCACACGUGGCACCCCCUCUGCGUUCUGAGGCUUCGACCUGAACCACGAAGCCACGUCUCUCCCAGCAGCUCCCACCUCGCCUUCGACCACAUCCGACUGGCCUGGCAGACAGACAGGGGUCUUCCAGAGCGAGAGCCUGAGUGAGCGUCGGCCACCGAGUUUGCUCCUCUCCAGGAGGUGGGUCUGCCCCCACCACAGGACCACAUCCCCCAAGAAAACGCCGAGAGUCGGGAACCCUUGACAGCGAAGAUGUGACCUCUUAUCUUCUUGUCCCUGUUUCAUUCCAAAUUCCAAAGUAAUACAUGAGCACAAGUUUGUAGUUUGAGAAAAUUCAGCCCAAGAGAACUGAAGAUAGACCCAAACUUGUAUCCAAACCUUCAAAAGGUGGAAGCAACCCAAGUGUCCAGGGCUGAGCGAAUGGACAGACACAACGUGGUCCAGGCACACAACGAACAGUCGCCGGCUUCACAAAGGAAGGAACUCUGACCUGCGCCACGCGUGGGUGAACCUGCGGACGCUCGCGAGUCACAUGAGGACAGACGCCGUGCGAUUGCACUUCUAUGAAGAACCCAGAUGAGUCCGACUCCAUAGAGAUAGACAGCAGCAGGGCGGUGGCCAGGGCUCGGGAGAGGCAGAAGCGGGGGCUACUGUCUAAUGGCACAGCAUUUCCGUUUUGCAGGACGGAAAGAGCUCUGCAGGUCCCCACAGAGAGCUCUGUGACCAGCCUCCCCAUGUCUACGGGUCUCAGCAGCCUCAAUGAUGGAAAGAAGCAGGAAGCUUUCUCAUCAGCAGCGCUUCGAAGCAUCAUUUUUAAACCCUAUGACCCAGGAGAAGCAGGACCAAGAGUGGCGUGGAGCCGGAGUACACGUGCAGACCUGAGCUCAGGGUCCUGGGGCGGCCGGCUGGGCCACGCCAAGGCAGGGAGACAGGUGCCAGGAAGCCGAAGAGCACGGCAGACCCCUGGUAUCCUGGGGCCGGGCAGCCUGCAGGGAGGGAGUCCCCAUCCUGCCGUGAGGGACAUGGGCCUGGGCUCCGAGGGGUUCAACUAGCCCCCAGGGACAUCAGCAAGUACCUCAAGGACGCCAACCACACCAGAAGCCUGAUGGACAGAGACAGUCAAAGAAAGCCAUGCUGGAGAAGGAGAAGAGGCAGAUUUUCUCAAGAGCAAGAGUUGUUCUUGUUGUUGUUGUUGUUGUUUUAAAAAAAAAAACUCGAUACCGAAAAUUCACAGUCUGUCCUUGCUCCAGGGACCCACAGGACAGCAGUGUCAAGGCUGAAACAGGGGCGCCCAGAACAGAGGCAGGAAGAGAAAAAUCAUCAUCCCUGAGACUCAAGGUCAUGGGGACAUCUAAUGUCUCAGGGGCGAGAAAAGAUUGCUUUAGAAAAGAAAUCAUGUUGAAAGCUCACAUCUGCUGAAUUCUGAAGAAUGCCCCGGGGUCAGGUCCCAACGAAAAGAGAAAAGGGGCCACCGAGAAGCACAGCAGAAGCCUCAAUGUGGCAGCAGCAUCCGAAGGGGACAGAGGAGCAAACAGGGAAAGCGGAGGUUAGUGGGGAGGAGCAGGGGUCCAGCGGGCGGCGGCGAGGGUGCUGACGGGGCGUGAGGGGCGGGGGCUCCAGGGCACAGUGGUGACCCUGGCAGCGAGGUCCAUGGGGUCAGUGUGGCUCGAAGGGUGGACUCUCGGCCAUCCCUGUCAGAAUCACCGGGAAAGGGGCUGGGUGGAGUAGGAAGUUGCUAAAAUGCAGGUUCCUGGGGCCCUCAUCACAUUCCCAGAAAUUCAGUGGGUCUGAGGGAAGGGCCAAGAGUCUGCAUUUUUAAUAAAUACCGGGUGAUCUCAAUGCACAUGCCAGGCCUGCGAACCAGAGUGUUGAGUGAUGAGAAAACGUCUUACAGAGACUAGAACGUGGGAAACGACCACAUCCAAGGUGUCUCUUCCAGCUGGUCCCUGAUCCCGCUGCUCCUGCUCCCCUGCAGGGUGGGGCGGUGGGUCGAGGCAGACCCCAGGCCCUCCCCACACCCGCACACUUGAGGUUGUGAGAACUGCAGGGGAGCAGAAAGAAUGCGGCGCCACCCAGCCAGCAACCCCACCAAGCCAACCCUGCCCACACCGCUGCCGCCUCUGGUUCUGACCAACCUGGACGUUGCGUAAGUGUUUCUUUCGCGAGCAAGAGACCUUGACAUAUUUGGAACACCAUGAUAAUACAAUGACAAACCAGAGGCCAUUUCAAAAGCCCACACAGAUGUCCUGCAGCUCUAACUUCCCAGAAAACCUUGAUUACAUCUAGGAACACAAAGCAAGGAAGAUCUGGGGGCAGGGGUGAUCUGGGGAAGGAACUGGAACAUUCCCAGCCCAAGGGCUGAAUCCACCUCUCUGCCUCUGAGCUGAUGGCAUGUCUCUCGUCUCUCUGUACUUGACUGUUACAGUCAGAUGGUGACAUGGGACAGAAGUCCUCCUCCUACUGAGAUGCAAGCAAAUUUCCCAAAGGAGGCUGGAAGUCCUCAACUGUAUAUUAGAUAAAAAAAUAACCACUCUUUCCACAUGUGGCACCUCUGACUAGGGAGACAUCAAAUUCGGAAACCAACUCCCGAAUCUUUACAAGUCCCACGAGACACGGGCAGAUGGAAGUAUUUCUUCCUCGAAGCCAAUAAGACAGAGAAAUUGUAAAAGUGUAAGAAAUACAGGUAGGGCCUGACACAGAGCUCCUAAAACCCUGGGAAUCUCCUGACUGAGAGGAUGCUAGAAGCAUCUUCCGUUCUAAUAUCUGGUCACCGACCUUGGUUCCAGACACAGAGUUCCUGAAUCCCUUGGAGUUUCCAGGAUGAGUGAAGUGUCCUUUGUUCUAAUGAGGUGACCCUGGGUGUGCUCCUGGAAGGGGCCAGUCACCCAAAGACCAGCCGUGAUCAGAAUGCAGAACUAUGGAGGAGGAGAGGCUGGACACUGAGUAUUAACUGAAUCCAUCGUGUCUAUUUAAUGAAGGCGCCACAAAACUCCCUAAACAGGAUGGCAAACAUGUGCAUGUGCACAGAGGGUGGGGGGGGGCAGUGCACCCCAACCCCACAGAGACAGAAGCUCCUGUGUUGGGGACACUUCCAGACCUCGCCCUAGGUGGCUCUUCAUCUGGCCGUUCAUUUGUAUCCUUUGCAAUAUUCUUUGUAAUAAACUGGUACAC
ensembl:lncRNA